rnacentral:rRNA from 1 species
AGAGUUUGAUCCUGGCUCAGGAUGAACGCUGGCGGUAUGCUUAACACAUGCAAGUCGCACGGCCCCUUCGGGGGCAGUGGCAGACGGCUGAGUAACGCGUAGGAACCUGCCCGGGUGUGGGGAACAACUCGCCGAAAGGCGAGCUAAUACCGCAUACGCUGGUGAAAGCCAGGAAAGCCGAAAGGCGCACCCGGAGGGGCCUGCGUCCGAUUAGCCAGUUGGUGGGGUAACGGCCUACCAAAGCAGCGAUCGGUAGCUGGUCUGAGAGGAUGACCAGCCAGACUGGGACUGGGACACGGCCCAGACUCCUACGGGAGGCAGCAGUUAGGAAUUUUGGGCAAUGGCCGCAAGCCUGACCGAGCGACGCCGCGUGGAGGACGAAGGCCUUCGGGUUGUAAACUCCUGUCGAGGGGAAUCAAGGGGGCGUGGAGAACGCCCCUCGAGAGCUCCCUGGAGGAAGCACGGGCUAAGUUCGUGCCAGCAGCCGCGGUAAGACGAACCGUGCGAACGUUAUUCGGAAUCAUUGGGCUUAAAGGGCGCGUAGGCGGGCCAGCACGUCGGAACUGAAAUCCCCCGGCUCAACCGGGGAACGGGCUCCGAUACGGUUGGCCUCGAGGUGAGGAGGGGGACCUGGAACGUCCGGUGGAGCGGUGAAAUGCGUUGAGAUCGGACGGAACGCCGAUGGCGAAAGCAAGGUCCUGGACUCAUAUCUGACGCUGAGGCGCGAAAGCCAGGGGAGCGAACGGGAUUAGAUACCCCCGUAGUCC